rfam:Calypte anna contig32860, whole genome shotgun sequence.
CGCAUACUCUUUUCCGCAUUCUUUCUCAUGGCCAAAAGCAAAUAUUUAUUCCCCGCAUAUUUUUCCUUUUCUUUCAGGCUCCAGUUUUGAAACCUGUGGAUUCACCCGGCCAAGCAUUGCUCGACCAGCAUGAAUUGGGUCGGUUUGUUUCCCUCUGGUUUCUAGAGGGUGCUUCUGAAAACCGAGUUGUACCGGGUGGGGGUGGGGGUGAGGGGGGGGAAGGGAAUGCAGCUCUCUGGGGCAGCGCUGUUUUACAUAUGGGUUAGACACGUGCUUCUGAAAACCGAGUUGUACCGGGUGGGGGUGGGGGUGAGGGGGGGGAAGGGAAUGCAGCUCUAUGGGGCAGCGCUGUUUUACAUAUGGGUUAGACACGGCUAGAGGCCAAGGUCAAGUUGAAAGUUGCAGUCUAGCCAGUGUGAGAACUGUCAUUCACAGUUCGAAGAUCUGUCUAAUUUGUUAAAAAGCGAGUAGCCAUGAGAACACUAACUUCCCCAGCUCGCAUCUCCUCC